AGCGAACGCUGGCGGCAGGCCUAACACAUGCAAGUCGAACGAACCCUUCGGGGUUAGUGGCGGACGGGUGAGUAACACGUGGGAACGUGCCUUUAGGUUCGGAAUAACUCAGGGAAACUUGUGCUAAUACCGAAUGUGCCCUUCGGGGGAAAGAUUUAUCGCCUUUAGAGCGGCCCGCGUCUGAUUAGCUAGUUGGUGAGGUAAAGGCUCACCAAGGCUACGAUCAGUAGCUGGUCUGAGAGGAUGACCAGCCACAUUGGGACUGAGACACGGCCCAAACUCCUACGGGAGGCAGCAGUGGGGAAUCUUGCGCAAUGGGCGAAAGCCUGACGCAGCCAUGCCGCGUGGAUGAUGAAGGUCUUAGGAUUGUAAGAUCCUUUCACCGGUGAAGAUAAUGACUGUAGCCGGAGAAGAAGCCCCGGCUAACUUCGUGCCAGCAGCCGCAGUAAUAC
rnacentral:rRNA from 1 species